AGUACACCCAAAGAGUAGCAGAAGAGUACAGUCUCCGAGGCUACGUGGUCUACACAAAGAACCACACCGUGAGAGGCUAUGUUGAAGGACCAGCUAACUACGUACCUUACAUGAAAAAAUGGCUUCAAGAGAGAGGUUCCCCUGAAGCUAGUAUCGACAAGGUUGUAUUUUACAAUGAGCAAUACAUAGAUGACUUCCGAUACAAAGUAUUUCAUUCACUCAACUUAGACUUCCGUGACUUCGAGACCCACCAACAGCCAUAUAUUUGAAAGUUAUUAAUUACCGAUAGAACUGUAGGCUACGAGAUAUUUGAAGAUUGGAGGUCAAAAAAUUAAAAAAAAA